CCUACGGGGGGCAGCAGUGAGGAAUAUUGGUCAAUGGGCGGAAGCCUGAACCAGCCAAGUAGCGUGCGGGAUGAAGGCCCUACGGGUCGUAAACCGCUUUUGCACGGGGAUAACACCCUCCACUUGUGGAGGUCUGCAGGUACCGUGCGAAUAAGGGCCGGCUAAUUCCGUUCCAGCAGCCGCGGUAAUACGGAAGGCCCGAGCGUUUACCGGAUUCAUUGGGGUUAAAGGGAGCGUAGACGGCAGCGCAAGUCUGGAGUGAAAUCCCAUGGCUUAACCAUGGACCUGCUUUGGAAACUGUGCAGCUGGAGUGCAGGAGAGGUAAGCGGAAUUCCUAGUGUAGCGGUGAAAUGCGUAGAUAUUAGGAGGAACACCAGUGGCGAAGGCGGCUUACUGGACUGUAACUGACGUUGAGGCUCGAAAGCGUGGGGAGCAAACAGGAUUAGAUACCCUAGUAGUC
rnacentral:rRNA from 1 species